ACAAUCUUCAUCCUUUCCAUCUUCAGCUUGAUAGAUCGGAUUCUCGAAAUUAUAAUUGGCAAUCAAGUAGAACUGUUAUCAAUAGGAUCCAGAGUGGAUGAGGAUCUGCAUUUUAGUGAUGUGGGUGUGUGUAAGAACACAUAGCUGAUGAAAAUAAAAUAAAAGAAAAACAAAAGAGCCCAAUAUUUACGAAAACGAAACGUCCAUUGAUUUUUAUUGAAUGAAGUAUGCAAAUGAAAUGACAUCCC
rnacentral:lncRNA from 1 species